UACGAAAGGUGCAAGCGUUGUUCGGAAUAACUGGGCGUAAAGCGCUCGUAGGCGGGACUUCAGGUCGAUUGUGAAAGCCCAGGGCUCAACCUUGGAAUUGCAGUCGAAACCGUUGUUCUUGAAUACCUGAGAGGGUGGGGGAAUUCCUAGUGGAGAAGUGAAAUUCGUAGAGAUUAGGAGGAACACCAGAGGCGAAGGCGCCUACCUGGCAGUGUAUUGACGCUGAGGAGCGAAAGUGUGGGUAGCAAACAGG
rnacentral:rRNA from 1 species